rnacentral:lncRNA from 1 species
GAGGGAUGUGAUGUCAAUAUGUCAAGGCUUAUUGAAAUGAAAAGAAUGAAUGAGAGGAAACUCAUGAUAAAUGGCCUCUGUUUAUUUGGGAAAGUAAAAGAUGAGUGGAAACAGCUGGCUUUGCUAAACUUUUGGGACAUUUCCUUACAGAAUUUCCACAGACUUUGAAAGGAACCUCCAAUAACUACUGCUGGCACCCCUCCCUCGCUGUUGCAAGUCAUCAGGACUUCCUAGAAGAAACCUCUUGCUCCCAGUCUUUUCCACAUGGGCUGACA